rnacentral:rRNA from 1 species
GUAGGUGGCAAGCGUUGUCCGGAAUUAUUGGGCGUAAAGCGCGCGCAGGCGGUUCUUUAAGUCUGAUGUGAAAGCCCACGGCUCAACCGUGGAGGGUCAUUGGAAACUGGAGAACUUGAGUACAGAAGAGGAAAGCGGAAUUCCACGUGUAGCGGUGAAAUGCGUAGAGAUGUGGAGGAACACCAGUGGCGAAGGCGGCUUUCUGGUCUGUAACUGACGCCGAGGCGCGAAAGCGUGGGGAGCAUACAGGAUUAGAUACCCUGGUAGUCCACGCCGUAAACGAUGAGUGCUAAGUGUUAGGGGGGUUUUCCGCCCCCCUUAGUGCUGCAGCUAACGCAUUAAGCACUCCGCCUGGGAGUACGGCCGCAAGGCUA